rnacentral:lncRNA from 1 species
AUGGUGAAUGCCAGAGAACAGUUUGGAAGUCAAAUUUUCAGAGAAAUAGUUAUCACUGCUUGCUGGGCAAUAUGGACUUUGAGAAACUCCAUAAUUUUUGAUAAUGGACAAUGUUCCAUCCCCACUUGGAGAAGAAAAUUCAAAGAUGAGAUGGACGCCAAUGAGAAAAGACGAACCCCUUUAACAUUGUGGCGAAACAGUUUCCAUCCCUAGAUGUUUUCUUUUCUUUUGGGCCUGGUUGCCCUGUACUUUUUUUUUUCUCUUCUUCUUUUUCCCCUUCCCCCCCCUCUUUUGUACAUUGACAGUCUAUUCUUUCAUUUAAUUGAAAUACAAAAAAAAUAUAGGCAGGGGUUUCCCCUACUGUUCCAUUCAAAAAACAGCUAGACAAUUCAAAUUCAAAUAUGUUGGGCACGCGUUACACGUCCAUGUGGUGACUAGCUAGUACUCCCUCCGUAUCCUAAAUAGAAGACUCAACUGUAGAGUGUUGGCCAGCUGAGCUACAAUUGAUUAUUAUUUAAAUAGCACCACGUGCUGUAUUUAAUAAGAGCAAUACAGAAAAACUAACCCCUAGCUAAUUAAUCACUCUUUAGUAAUCAUACUCAUGUCCUAAACGUCAUCUAAUUAGGAUACGAAGGGAGUACUCCGUAUAUAUGAAGACGAAUUCAAGUCAUAUGACUUGUCAAGAGAUCAAACAAUUGUUAGAGUUAACUAAUUUAUAAAAAAAUACUAACAUUUAUAAUAUCAGAUAAUAGUAUGUUUAAAAUAAAUAAAUAUCAUUAUUUAUGAAAUAUAUUUUUAUAGUAAAU